rnacentral:tRNA from 1 species
GGGGUUGUGGCUCAGUGGUAGAGCACUCACCUAGCAAGUGCAAGGCCCUGGGUUCAAUCCUCAGCACCACA